rnacentral:lncRNA from 10 species
AGGAAUACUGUACAAUGGUUCCAGGCAUGAAGCAUGUGCUGUCCUGGGCCCUGAAUAUCAAGCCAGGUAGAGGAACCCCAUCCUUCUGUUGUCAUUUCAAGCUAGAGGCUCAAGCCUGGAGGAGUGAGGAUCAAGAUCGAGAACUCAAAGCUGUUUAGAGGAAGAAGCCAAGUUCAAGGAGGAGUGAGGAACGGUUGAGGCGAAACCUUUUGGAAGCUCAGGAAGCUUGGAGGAUUUCGUGGAUUACAGAAUGUUGAAGUUGGAGAACUGUAGAGGGGCCUAAAAAAUGUUCCAGAAUCAAGACGGUGCCUGAUGC